CCCCUGCAGGGCUCAAAUGAGGACACGCCUCCUCCUCGCGCCUCCACGGCGCGCAGCCAAUCAGCGUUCCAGGGCGUCGCGGGUGGGACUGCCCCUUGCCCCUCGCACCUCCUCCCGCACGCGCCAGGACACGCCCAUUCCACGGGCCGACCUCCCCAAGCCCUCGCGCCUCGUCAGCAUGCAGCUAGCUGUCGCUGCUUCCUCCCCUGCGGACUUCGGAGGGUCCCCAGGACCGUUGUGUUGCCCUCUCACACUCUCUCGCUGUCCGGUUCCUACCCAGAGUUGUGGGGCGGGACCGAGAACCCGAGAGGCGAUGAGGGAGGCCCGGCGCGGCCUCUCGGAGGCAAAGCGCGGUCUGAGGGAAAUGCCUGGCAAGUCCUGUCGGACCCUCGCGGGACCGGUUCCCACCGCAGCCGGUGGGCAGGGCUUCUCCCCGCCCGGAACUCGUUCUCCGGUCCGCUGAAUGCAGACAGCAAGCCGGGCCGGCCCACCGCACGGGACUGCGGAGGAAGGAGAUUCCUUGGAAUGAAACCAAUGGGAGAUCAGGGUUUGGGAGAGUCUCAUCAGAGCAGAUGGGCCAGCAGCAGCCAGAAAGCUUGUUGCCUUUGGCUGAGAGCACCAUCCUGGAUCUGACGUCUUAUGGAAAAACUGAAGCCUAAGGAGAGGAAUGGACUUGCCAUGGACAUUUCAGGAGCCCAGAGGCAACUCGGGCCAAGGAGCCCCUACCUGGACACCUUUGUGCACCUUGCUGUCCCCAGCCCAGGGCCCUUGAGGAAUAGCCUCCCCAUGAGUAACACAGGGUCAUCACGUCUUCCCUGGCCACAGUGCUAGGCUGUGAAGAUCAAAGGAGAAACUGUGCUAACAUCCUUGGGCAACUGUGAAGCUCUCUGCCUGAGGUAGGAGAUAAGUACCAUCAUCAUCAUCCCUAAUGGCUCCCAGAUCCAAGAGAUCCAGGCUGACCCCUCCAAGGCUUUAUCAAGCAAUGCUCAAAUAGCCAAGUCUCGGUGGAACUAGGUCCUACUUUGAAGAUCAUGGGUAUUGGUGAUACAGAUGGGGCAGGGCAGGUCCAGGAUCCAUUCUGAAUCUCCAGCAGCUCAAGAAUGGGCUGAAUCCCCACUUGCUCCAUCCCACCAACCUUCCCACCCAGGGGCCUCACCACACCCAUCUGCUCACUGGACCCUCACAACACCUUUGUGAGCUCAGAAGGACAGAAAGGCCUAUCCCCUUUUAUAGAUGAGGAAAUGGGCCCAGGGAGAGACAGCUGACUUUUUAUGGUCACACAGCACGUCCCAUCCUCCUACAUCAGGAAUCAUUCUCUUGACUCUUAGCAAAGAGAGAGAUAAGAAAAAGAAGCCAAGACCCUUGCAACUGAGCCCUGAUCUCUCCUUAGGAUGCCGUUGCCCUUUGAAUCAGGGAAGGAAGUGAAAGUGAGGUCUCUGCUUCCCCACUGAAUGUUCCUACCAGGGCUGGCCCAGGCCCAGCCCAUGCUCAGCUUGGCUCCUUAAGUAGACACCAAUUCUCUGCCUUCUAGUCCACCUGGGACCCCGUGUUCUGAGCGUUCCUCAGGGAGCCUGGACUCUGAACUCUGCUCUGCACUAUCAGACUAGUCCUAUAUUAAGACUGGCUAGAGUCUCCUCUUUGGCAAGAGUCCUAGGCUCUCCUGAGACUAGAGCGUCCUAUAGGGCCACGUGGGGCCCUUCACUUGAGCAGCAUGAUGAGGGUGCCUUCUUCCCCCUUAGAGCCCAGGUGACAGGAGUGGCCACCUACUCCUGGGAGUAGGUCUGGGAGACCAGGGCUGCCCUGUUCCCCAAAGACUGGAGUCACAGUGGGUGACAGGUCACAUUUCUUUCUAAGCCUAGUCCCAACUGUGCUACCAACUCACUGUGUGGCCCUGAGGGCUGGCUCCCUUUUCUGAGCCUCAUUUUUCCAUCUAGAAGAUGAGAGGAAAUGACCUCUAAGGGCCCCCUUGGUUUGACACUCUAAAUUUCCAUUUGCUCAUUGAGCCUGCUCCUCUUUCCAGCUGGGGUGUACUCUGCCAGCAUGGGGCUGCUGAGGGUUACUCUGGAGGCAGGCACUUCACUUGUUUGGGAGAAUUCACUACAGGGCCAGGUACCCUGGUCCUCUGAGACCUCCCUCAGGGUCUGCAGCCACCCAGGUGUGGAAUCCAGCUCCCAGAUAGAGGGUCAAGGAGGUGGGCCGCCCCUCACCACUCCCCCCACCUUGGGGGGAGGAGAGAGGGAGGGACCUACUUCCUAGUUUCAUCUGUGGUAGGUGAAGGCCACGUUAAAUAAACUCAGCCUCGGGAAAGUCUUCAUUUACACAAUACAUGGCUGAAGUCACUUCACAAAAACCCCUUUCCACUAGCUGAGCACACAGGCUGUCUCUAAGACCAUCAGUACUUGCUGACUUGAGGAGCACAGAAUUUGCAUAUAGGUCUAAGUGACUCACUGUGGCAUUCAGCCAAGUCACUUCCCCUCUCUGGGUCAUUUUCCUAAUGUCCACACUGUGUGGCUGGCCCAGAGGAGUUAGGGCAGGCAGGCAGGCGGGUUUCUGGUUCUGAGGGCCUGUGGUUUCCCGUGGUGCCCUGCCCCGCCCCAGCAUCAUGCUUGUGAGAAAAUGGCCCAGAUGCACCACCCAGGCCUGGGCCACACACAUCUGCCACAGUCAAAGAGCAGCAGCCUCAACCAAAUAGGCUGGGGAAGACGGGGGAGGGCUAGGGUGCCUUGGGCAGC